AACAUUCAUGCUGGGCCAGAUCAUGCUUUUUGACAAUGUCUAACGAGCUAGCAGUGAAUGAUAAAUCUGCCGGGCCGCCUCUGUGUCUCAAAGCCACUAGGAUCUGCAGCUGUUUCAAGAGCACAGAACAAGAAAGCCUCCAGGAAAGGGGGAAAGAGCGGCAUCUGAGCUUGGAGGAAGUCAUUUCUGUGAAAAUCUUUUAAUGCAACAGGGAGCUAAGCAAGUGGGCUGUGUGUGCUGUGGAAGGUGGCGAUGUUGGGGUCUUGCCUCCUGCAGUGGAUGCCGGCGACAGGGCCUCGGGUGGCUCUCUUAGGACCCACAGGCCCUGCAUCUGGAUUGGUCAAGUCCCAGGGGCCAGGCCUGCCUCAGAGGUCCUGGGCAUUUCACGGCUGGAGGGCACUGCGGAGGUCCAUCUGCUGCCCCAUGGAGGAGAGCGGGUGCUCAGACACCAAUCUUGGUGCCCAAUCAUUUCCCCUCCUCUGACCUUGAGGGAAAAAGCCAAGAUGCAGCCUCUGGACACCAACCUUGAGACAUUCUCAGCUCUCAGCUCAUCAGCAGAGCCUGGACUCAUUACUCCAGGGAAGAAGCUCUGCUUCCGUGGGCCAGGGGUGAACUGUACUACUAAUACGGUACAAACGAGGGAAAGGUUCUCUUUGGAUGAGUCUUCCAGCUGCCAAGUGGGGAAUGAUGGCAUGAGAAUACUGCCCUUUUGCACCUCCUGAUCAAUGAAUCAAAGCAAUGUCACCAAUGGCAGAUUAUACCCCACAUAAAGGUAGACCCUCAAGCCAGGGUGAAUGAUCAAACUUGGAUCUGACACAGCGUCCAGAGCCAGCUACCAGCUACAGGAAGCACAGGCCGCAGAGUGCUGAGCUGAAUGAUGCCCAGACACAGCCAGCACGGUCCCGGAGGUGGCAGGCUCUGCAGGACAGACGGCCAUGUCGUUGCAGGUAAAUCACAUGGAAAGGGGGAGACGGGAGAACCCCAGCAUCCCACCGCAGGGUCCAGACGCACGCACACUGAUUCCAACACGCUGCAGUUAGCGGUGGGUGCUCGUGGAUAACUAGGGCCUGUGAAGGCUGACUGUGAAGUUGACAGUUUGAUUGAUCUGAUGGAAUGAUUGAUAGCUUUUUAAACACGACAGUGGGACUGUGGUUAUGGUUUGCUAAACACAGCUUAUCUUUUUAGACAUGUAGGGGGUUAUUUAUGGAAGAAAUAAUGUGAGGUGUGGGACUUGCCUAGCAUAAUGGGAUAGCUGGGGACUUUCUCUUCACUGACCCUUGCUUUCUGGGUGUCCUCAGAAAGGCUGUGUCUUUAGUCACAGUGUGUGACAUUCUACAUUCAUUCUGAAUCCCUCGCCUGAAUUGGUGCUUGCUGGAACCAGAUAGGUUCACUAUACUAUGCUUCCUAUUUAAAAGUUCUAAAAUGCAAUAGAAGAAAAUAGGAGAAUAUUUUUGUAACUGGGAGGUAGAAAAAUUUCCUAAGCAAUGCAAGAAACUCUGAAGCCCCCAAAUAACAAAACUUUUCUAUGACAACAUCUGCCAUAAGGAAAAGGGAAGGGGAGCCUGGAAGAAGAUAUUCACAGCGUACGACCCAAGAUAGCCGCCCACACGGCACGGAAACCCACAAAAUGGAAAGACGGGGAGACCCAGGACUCCGGAGAAACAUGAAUACAACAACUCAAAUGGCCAGCCUCGCUUGUCCUGGGAAACGCCCAGUUAGAAAGGCAGCAGAAUACAUCUCACCCAUGAGACUGGCGGAAAGGAGCAGGGUGGAUGGGGUGCUGGCGCUCUGUUGGUGGAACAGAGGCUGGUAACAUCUUUCAGAAGGAAACACAGCCACAUUGAUUCACAUGGAAAUGCAUUUGCUCUAACUGAACAAUUCAGUUCCCAGAAAUCAACUCUAAAAGCCUCUUGCCCACUGACAGCUUCAUAUUGUGCGAGCUGGGCACCCUGUGGCUUCCAUUUCUGGUGUUUGUGCUGCAUCAGCUUUGCUCCUUUGGGACUGGGUUUCCCAAACGCUCUUCCCGCCUUGUUCUGAGUGGUGGGAGCCACACAAGACGUCUGACGUUUGAGGAGAUUGGGAAGCAGAAGUGUGGCAGCCCCCACACACCCAAAGCAAGCAGCUACCACAAACGCACUCGCCCCUCUGGGGUGGGCAGCAGGACGGUCCCCACAGGACCCUCAUCCAGCAGCCGCUGGGGCUUCCCGCAGCUCCCAUGUCACUGAACCUGGAGGGGGCUCAGGGUCCUCACUGCUCACUGAACCUGGAGGGGGCUCAGGAUCCUCACUGCUCACUGAGGCUGGAGGGGGCUCAGGGUCCUCAAAGCUCACUGAACCUGGAGGGGGCUCAGGGUCCUCACUGCUCACCGAGGCUGGAGGGUCUCAGUGUCCUCACUGCCUGCUUUGCCUUGCAGUCCUUCUGGGCACAGCCCUGCUGGUCUCCAGCCUGUUUCUCAUGCUCUGCUUCACAACAGGUCAACUUCUGUAAUAUUGCCCUUGAAGGUGGACGUGCAAGCCUGUUCCAUCCUCUUGUCCAACAAGGCGAAGGUGUGAGUUUCCUCACGGAGAGCCUGCUGGCUUAGAGGAGAUGCUCACCUGGGAAUCCGGCUCAGUCACAUCACCUGGGAACCCGGCUCAGUCACAUCACCUGGGAACCCCGCUCUGUCACAUCACCUGGGAACCCAGCUAAGUCACAUCACCUGGGAACCUGGCUCAGUCACAUCACCUGGGAACCUGGCUCAGUCACAUCACCUGGGAAUCUGGCUCAGUCACAUCACCUGGGAAUCUGGAUCACUCACAGGGUGCUUUAGCCUGAGCUAUAGAUGUUCUGAUUUGAAUCACUGGCCAGGACUGAAACAUGGGUUCAUUUCAGAUCAAACCUGGAUUUCUUGCUUCUCUUGGAAAAAUUUGGCCACGUUGGGGCCACACUCCCACAUAGGAAUAACCUCGUGUAUAAGGGGGUGCAGCUAUUGACUCCCCACACACAGAGGUGUCUGCAGGGGCCACAGUGCCUCCCACCCCCGUGGGGUCCAUGCUCAGGCCUAAGGCAGAGCCCCCACUAGUGAUGGGCAGGGCAGAUGGAGGCUCCUGGUGAGGUUCCCGUGAGAAACAAGGAAGGACACGGGAAGGAAAGGAGGGAGGGGGGAGAGACAGAGACAGAGAGAGAGAGAAACACUGGGACGUUCUCCCCUCCAUCCCGGGCACACACAGGGUUUUCUGUGUGUCUAUAACAUGCUGUGUGUGAUGGUGACGACCAAGGGUUGGCAAUCGCCUUUCUCAGAUGGAUCUGAGAGUGGCCCUGCUCCGAUAUAGUCCCAGCUGUGCUUUAAAGCCUUUGCCACUCCAAAUUCACUCAGGGUAGAUAGUGCUCAGCGUAGCACAUGAGGGCACACAGAACUCUAGAGGCAGCGAGUGCCCCAGGGGCAGUGGCACAGACAAGCUUCCCACAUACACAGGGAGCCCAAGAUACAGACAGCCCCAUCACAUAACAGAUCACAUACACAUUGGCGUGGAGCCGUUUCUGAGCUG